AUACGGAGGAUGCGAGCGUUAUCCGGAUUUAUUGGGUUUAAAGGGUGCGUAGGCUGUGCGUUAAGUCAGGGGUGAAAUGCCGUCGCUCAACGACGGAGCUGCCCUUGAUACUGGCGUGCUGGAGUACGGAUGCCGUUGGAGGAAUGAGUGGUGUAGCGGUGAAAUGCUUAGAUAUCACUCAGAACACCGAUUGCGAAGGCAUCUGACGAAUCCGUCACUGACGCUGGGGCACGAAAGCGUGGGGAUAGAACAGGAUUAGAUACCCUGGUAUUCCACGCCGUAAACGAUGAUGACUAACCGUCGGCGAUAGACAGCCGGUGGCCAAGCGAAAGCGAUAAGUCAUCCACCUGGGGAGUACGUCGGCAACGAUGAAACUCAAAGGAAUUGACGGGG
rnacentral:rRNA from 1 species